ACUGUAUAGAGCUACCGAGAGUGAGUCCAUCCCGAAACUAUAUGCAUUUAAUUACUUUGUAUUACAUUAUAUCUAACUAUUUGUUACUUCAUUGGAUGUGAUGAUCUGAUGGAUAGGCAACUACUAUAGCUGCUACAAGCAGCUUGUUGAUGAGCUCAUUCUAUGAGAUUGACUUUCUGACUGUUAGUAUGACAAAUAUAAUGUUUGCAACAAGUAUCAGUAGAUUUUUGCAUCUGAAGUGCAAGAGUUCUGCUAUAUAAAACACAACUCAAAUCCUUUACUUUCAAUUAUCUAAUUCUCUUGAGUGAUUAGUUGAAGUUUCAUCAAUGAGUAUGACUAGCAGGCUCAUUAGCUGAAGAAUAGAGUUGAAACUAAAAAUUGAAGUUAAUUAAAUAAUUUUAACAACUGUAAAGUCAAGAUAGACCUUUGAAAGAAAGCUUCAGGGAAGCUAUGAAAUGCAGAUUCUUCGGAUAAAGAUCUGACGCAGGAGGUUGAAAAAGCUAAGAAAAGGCUGGACGUCCUAGAGUCCCUUAUUUACAUGUAGUACAGGAAAAUUUGAAGCCUUGAUGCAGUCUUUUGGUUAUGAUUUCCAGUUUCAAUUGGCAUGGGUGUUUCAAUGCAUUUCUAUUUAUGCCCCCAUAGAAUGAUAUUCAUCAGUGUAGUCUUCUUGUUGGUGUAUAUGUGCCUUCAAUAAAACUCCUAGAGGAAUCAACCUUGACAUUAAUUAGAAAAAGGCCUGCUAUAACUGCUUUUGUAACACGGAAAUGAUACGUUUCUCAGCAGAAACAAACAUUAGUUGAAUGCAUUAGAGUAGAAGUGAAGAAAGAUGGCAGAUUUUACAUUGAUGUCGUGCUUUAUGCUUUGAGCUUUGAGCUUUGAAUUGGUUAACAAAGGAAUAUUACUUCCAGAAUGCCUCUGCUAUGUUAUAUUAGUUUAUAUGUACGAAGAUAACUGAACGUGACCUUACAUUGCUCUUUAAUUAUGUUUUUACUUUCUGGAGGCAGCCAAGAUAAUGUUUUUGAAGCCUGAAAGGUCCUGUUAUUAGCCUUUAAUAGUUUGUGGCCUACUAAAUAAAAAAGUUAAUAAUUUGAUUUCAUUCCCUCUUAGCUAUUGGCUCCUUUUAUUAGACCUGAUUAUUGGCUUGAUUUGGUUUAUUUUUCUAAUGGUUUACUGGCAGCCACGGGUUCUACCAUUUUCUUUAGUUUACGUCGGGAAUAAGAAGACACCAACUACUUUUGCUGCUUUGCGUUACCUGUAUUAUUUUAUUUUUUUGGCUUCUUGAUCAAAUGUUAUGUAUGAGUUCCUGGAAUCUAGAAAUAUAUUACAAUACAUCUUUACACUGUAAAUCUGAAAGGGAAAUUAAGGCUUUUGAUACUAGGGUCACAAGACAAGGACUAAAAAGGAAAGAAAGAGAUGAGAUAAAAUCUGAAACUUAGAUGGGGGGAAGUGUCAUUGGCCUUGAGCUACUAUUUGAGUGUCUAGAGGUUCCUUGAAGUGGAUGUAGACAUAAGAAACUUCUGGUGGUCAAGAAGUGCUUUCAACUAUUAGGGUUCGUACGCUUUAGCAAUCACUGAUACUUUUUUGAGCUUUAACUUUGAUGUUUAUCGGUUUAGUUGAAAGGUACAGACUUGAUCAAUAUUUGCUAAAUUCAAGUUUUAAGUGUCAUUGUAUUUUUUGUAAUUGGGUAACACCAGAACACAAUUUAUAAUGGUUCUUGGAACAUGGCUUCUCUAUUAUUAAUCAUAAUAUUGAAUUAUUUCUAAGAAAUUUUAUUUAUUGCAAACUAUUAAUCACUUGACCGACUUCGUUAAAUAUAAGUCCAGAACAAAAAUAAUGAGAAUAGAGGAAGUAUGUAACUUCAUGAGACUGAUACUGCAUUUGGCUAGCUUUAGGUGUUAGUGCACUAUCAGACAAGGUUCAUAUUUCAGGCAUAAAUUUAUGUAUCUUCUGCAUCAUUUCUUAAUUUCGUGGUAUGAAGUGUCCUACUUGAGCUAAAGUGAUGUUCAGCUUGCUGCACGUUUUAAUGACAGGAGAAUGCCAUUUUUCUUUCAAGUUCUUUAUAUGUGUACCACAGCCGACAUGCUUUAAGGAAGAAUGCAGGGAAAUAGACAAGAAAAUUCUACAAAGGUAAUACCUAGAUGAAUCACGUGCUGCCAACUAUAGCUACUACAGUCCAGCUAGAUUUACAAUGUAGUACUAUAACUUUGUUCCACUAUUGAAUGUACAUAAUAUGAGGCAUAUUUUGUUAAUUUUAUUUGGUGGUGCUGCUUC